CUCCUGGAUGAGUUCCCCGUCAAUGAAGGGACCCCACGUUUCGAAGACUUCCAGGAACCGGAACGGGUUCACGAGUUUGGAACCUUGGGUUCACAAGGGAAAACCACAAGAUGGAGGGAUUUGAUGACAGACUUUCAUAAGGACGGCCUGUGGCGUGAGCGACAGCAAGCAGACAAUGUCGCCAACGGAACAGUUGGUCUUCUUUGCAAAGUCCUUUCCGAGCUUCAGGGCGUCGUGUCUGAGAGAUAGAAUGAAACGGCGAAACUGGAUCAGAGUGUUUUAGUGUGGGAGAGAUGAUACAGACCUGGUCUUGAGAGGGAUGGAGAAGGGCAGACUCUGCAAAACUGCCUGCUUGAACAAAGGCUUGCUGCUUUGGAUCAUCAGGAUAUAAAAUGGCCGUGAGACUUCCUCACCUAGCCUGUAUUCGACGCUUACGACAAGAGUGUGGGUGAAGUUGCUCAUGAAGCGGCCGUCGUACAGCGGCUUGGAGGCAGAGCCGGCGAUGAAAUCCCCACCGUGGAUCCACACCAUGACGGGAAGUGGACUGUGCAGCGGCGAGCUAAAGUUCACAUCCCGGGGGACGAAGAUGUUGAGAUAAAGACAGUCCUCGCUGACCUAAGCGGGAUAUGUGAGAAGACAGACAAACACGCAAUUGGUCCUCUGCACGCUUGCAUACAUGGCGCCUUGGGGAAGGAGGCAUCAUAAACCCCCUUCCAUGGACUCACAGGUCUGGGGGGCUUCCAGCGGUCCCGGAGUUCCAUUGUUGUCCUUCUUGACUGGUUUGUCCUCACGUUUGUCCUCGCUUUCUUCUGUGAACGAGAGGACGUCAGGCCUCUCCCCUGCAAUGGAGUUUAUCCCAAAAUCUGUGUUGAGGACGAACGGGUCAUCGGUCAUCAAGAGUCCGGCGUAGAUUCCUCUCAGGAAGCUGAUAAGGUUGACCUCAUCAUCGUUGUUUGUCGCCUCUCCAGUGGUUGGCACCAAACAAACUGUGCACAACAGCAGCGAAUAUGUCCAGCUCCUCAUAUUUGCCAAAUAAUGUCGAUUCACACUCAGCUCAGAUCAUGAUGAGACAAAUCUCCCGACAAGUCUGAUGCCUCAAACUCUCCACAGACUUGUGACUCCAAUUACUUGUUCAAAUUAAUUCAACAAAAGUUGCUCUGUGUAACUUGUGCACACUGGACCCUGGACACAAGCACUGUAUAAUGCUGCACUCUGAUUGAGGACACAUCGUCAUUACUUUACCUAAUGUUGUUAGUUUGCAUGCAAUGGGAGCUGGCGCCAUUUAUGCAGUAAGCUUCAUAGGCCAACCCAUGUUUGGGUCUUUUACUAUUUUUCCUGUCUGAGACACUAAGAUUGUUUUUUAUUUAUUUAGAUAUAAAAUGUGUAAUUGCAUUUUAAA